GUCUUUUUCAAGCAGCUUCAGCGAGAGCAUCAAGCUCCUACACAUCUUCCCUGCCCAACACAACUGGGAUGGUGUUGGUGUAUAAAGUUCUGUAUCUGUGCAUUCUUGCCCUGGUGUAUUCAUUUGGGUGGUGCUAGCGGGUCACAGACUGGCAAAAUACGGAGAGCCAGGUCGUUCUUUCAAAUGUACUUAUGGAGACAACACUGAGUGAGUUACCUGUUCCUGCCAACAUAACACCACAACCCUGAAGACCUCCACCUGGCUGCCACGUUGAAGCUCACUCAGAACAAGCUGCAGAAGUCAAGAUUAAUUUGGAUAAGUUGAAAUUGCUGUAUCCCACAUGCUACAAGUUGCACUGGACCAGGGUAUCUGUAAUGGGGUUUGGUUGAUGUGAGGACUGUUAAUGAUGUUUGCUGUACUAAUGAUUCUGAUGUGCUGCUUGGAACAUGAAAUCUGUUAAGUCAUGCAACGGAAACCCAGUGCCAAAAUGAUGGUCUAAAUGCAAACCCUGAGCCCAGCUAUAUAUAGAUACUGUACUGUAAGUACUGGGUAUGUCAUGGUUUCAUCCACGCCGGUAUGCGAUCAAGUCUCCCCUGUCCCCUUUCCGUCUGUCAUGGCCCAGUAUGUUGCUACUCGCUUGUGGGCAGGGGCCCAUUUCAUAAUAGAGGAUUUGUGGGACUUUUACAGUUUAUGAAUUAGUGUUCUCAUUAAUUACUUUUCUGCUACAUACUGUAUAUGAAUAGCUGUUCUUGGAAGAUGUUAAACUACUGAAUUAAUUUGUUACUUUGAGGUUCUGAUGCUGUAAAAAUAAUUGUCAAUUUCUCUCUGUGGACUAUGGAAGAGGAGACAUUUAUCUUUUCAAAUCAAGGGUCAUAUUCCUGCCCUAUAACAAAGAGUAAUAAAACACGUUAGUGCAUGACAACUUUGCAACUGUUAACUCCUAUGUUUGCCAUGAGUCUAUAAACUAUGAUCUUGUUGUUUUCCCUUGUGUAUUUCUGUGAUAUUUGCCAACUGCUGUAUCUUUGUAACCCCUGCCAACUGACGUAAUGCAACGAAUGACUGAUAAACACUAUUAAACUGGAAA